AACGAACGCUGGCGGCAUGCCUAACACAUGCAAGUCGAACGAGACCUUCGGGUCUAGUGGCGCACGGGUGCGUAAAGCGUGGGAACCUGCCCUUAGGUUCGGAAUAACUCCCCGAAAGGGGUGCUAAUACCGGAUAAUGUCUUCGGACCAAAGAUUUAUCGCCAUUGGAUGGGCGAGCGUUGGAUUAGCUAGUUGGUAGGGUAAAAGCGUACCAAGGCGACGAUCCAUAGCUGGUCUGAGAGGAUGAGCAGCCACUCUGGGACUGAGACACGGCCCAGACUCCUACGGGAGGCAGCAGAGGGGAAUCCUGGACUGCGGGCGAAAGGAUGAUCCAGCACUGCCGCGUGAGUGAUGAUGGCCUUAGAGUUGUAAAGCUCUUUUAUCCGGGAUGAUAAUGACAGUACCGGGAGAAUAAGCACCGGCUAACUCCGUG
rnacentral:rRNA from 1 species